UGGGGAAUCUUAGACAAUGGGCGCAAGCCUGAUCUAGCCAUGCCGCGUGAGUGACGAAGGCCUUAGGGUCGUAAAGCUCUUUCGCCAGAGAUGAUAAUGACAGUAUCUGGUAAAGAAACCCCGGCUAACUCCGUGCCAGCAGCCGCGGUAAUACGGAGGGGGUUAGCGUUGUUCGGAAUUACUGGGCGUAAAGCGUACGUAGGCGGAUUAGUCAGUCAGAGGUGAAAUCCCAGGGCUCAACCCUGGAACUGCCUUUGAUACUGCUAGUCUUGAGUUCGAGAGAGGUGAGUGGAAUUCCGAGUGUAGAGGUGAAAUUCGUAGAUAUUCGGAGGAACACCAGUGGCGAAGGCGGCUCACUGGCUCGAUACUGACGCUGAGGUACGAAAGUGUGGGGAGCAAACAGGAUUAGAUACCCUGGUAGUCCACACCGUAAACGAUGAAUGCCAGACGUCGGGGGCUUGCCCUUCGGUGUCACACCUAACGGAUUAAGCAUUCCGCCUGGGGAGUACGGUCGCAAGAUUAAAACGUCAAAGAAUUG
rnacentral:rRNA from 1 species